AGUGAACGCUGGCGGUAGGCCUAACACAUGCAAGUCGAACGGCAGCACAGUAAGAGCUUGCUCUUACGGGUGGCGAGUGGCGGACGGGAGAGGAAAAUAUCGUAAUCUACUUUUUCGGGGGGGAUAACGUAGGUAAACUUAAUCUAAUACCGCAUACGACCUACGGGUGAAGGCAGGGGAUCUUCUGAGCUUGCGCGAUUGAAUGAGCCGAUGUCGGAUUAGCUAGUUGGCGGGGUAAAGGCCCACCAAGGCGACGAUCCGUAGCUGGUCUGGGAGGAUGAUCGGCCACACUGGAAGUGAGACACGGUCCAGGCUCCUACGGGAGGCAGCAGUGGGGAAUAUUGGACAAUGGGCGCAAGCCUGAUCCAGCCAUACCGCGUGGGUGAAGAAGACCUUCGGGUUGUAAAGCCCUUUUGUUGGGAGAGAAAAGCAGCAGGUUAAUACCACGCUGUUCUGACGGUACCCAAAGAAUAAGCACCGGCUAACUUCGUG
rnacentral:rRNA from 1 species